rnacentral:rRNA from 1 species
UACGUAGGGUGCAAACGUUGCUCGGAAUCAUUGGGCGUAAAGCGCACGUAGGCGGCCUAUCAAGUCGGGUGUGAAAGCCCCGGGCUCAACCCGGGAAGUGCAUUCGAAACUGACAGGCUUGAAUAUGGAAGAGGAUCGCGGAAUUCCCGGUGUAGAGGUGAAAUGCGCAGAUAUCGGAAGGAACACCAGUGGCGAAAGCGGCUUCCUGGUCCAGCACCGACGUUCAGGCACGAAAGCGUGGGGAGCAAACAGG